rnacentral:rRNA from 1 species
AGCAGUCGCCACGGUAAUACGUAGGGUGCAAGCGUUAAUCGGAAUUACUGGGCGUAAAGCGUGCGCAGGCGGUUAUAUAAGACAGAUGUGAAAUCCCCGGGCUCAACCUGGGAACUGCAUUUGUGACUGUAUAGCUAGAGUACGGCAGAGGGGGAUGGAAUUCCGCGUGUAGCAGUGAAAUGCGUAGAUAUGCGGAGGAACACCGAUGGCGAAGGCAAUCCCCUGGGCCUGUACUGACGCUCAUGCACGAAAGCGUGGGGAGCAAACAGGAUUAGAUACCCGAGUAGUCCCUGUCUCUUAUAC